GACGAACGCUGGCGGCGUGCCUAAUACAUGCAAGUCGAACGCAUUUUCUUUCACCGUAGCUUGCUACACCGAAAGAAAAUGAGUGGCGAACGGGUGAGUAACACGUGGGUAACCUGCCCAUCAGCGGGGGAUAACACUUGGAAACAGGUGCUAAUACCGCAUAAUUCCAUUUACUGCAUGGUAGAUGGAUGAAAGGCGCUUUUGCGUCACUGAUGGAUGGACCCGCGGUGCAUUAGCUAGUUGGUGGGGUAACGGCCUACCAAGGCUGCGAUGCAUAGCCGACCUGAGAGGGUGAUCGGCCACACUGGGACUGAGACACGGCCCAGACUCCUACGGGAGGCAGCAGUAGGGAAUCUUCGGCAAUGGACGCAAGUCCGACCGAGCAACGCCGCGUGAGUGAAGAAGGUUUUCGGAUCGUAAAACUCUGUUGUUAGAAAAGAACAAGGAUGAGAGUGGAAAGUUCAUCCCUUGACGGUAUCUAACCAGAAAGCCCCGGCUAACUACGUG
rnacentral:rRNA from 1 species